AUUGAACGCUGGCGGAAUGCUUUACACAUGCAAGUCGAACGGCAGCACGGACUUCGGUCUGGUGGCGAGUGGCGAACGGGUGAGUAAUAUAUCGGAACGUGCCCAGUCGUGGGGGAUAACGUAGUGAAAAUUACGCUAAUACCGCAUACGAUCUAUGGAUGAAAGCGGGGGAUCGCAAGACCUCGCGCGAUUGGAGCGGCCGAUAUCAGAUUAGGUAGUUGGUGAGGUAAAGGCUCACCAAGCCAACGAUCUGUAGCUGGUCUGAGAGGACGACCAGCCACACUGGAACUGAGACACGGUCCAGACUCCUACGGGAGGCAGCAGUGGGGAAUUUUGGACAAUGGACGCAAGUCUGAUCCAGCCAUUCCGCGUGCAGGACGAAGGCCUUCGGGUUGUAAACUGCUUUUGUACAGAACGAAAAGGUUUCUAUUAAUACUAGGAGCUCAUGACGGUACUGUAAGAAUAAGCACCGGCUAACUACGUG
rnacentral:rRNA from 1 species